AUUGCGGUUUUUUUACGUCAUCAAAAUGAACAGAAGGAAACUUAACCUUAACCUGUCAUGUGGAUGCGAGCGAGUGUCGUACGGUACGGAAUAAGAACAAUGACAACCUUUCGUCUGGCAUUGGUGCAGCUGUCUGUCGGCGAUGACAAAGCAGCGAACAUCUCACGAGCAGUUUCCUUCAUCGAGCGCGCGAAACAGGAACGGGCAGACAUCGUGACACUGCCCGAGUGUUUCAACUCACCAUAUGGACCGUCUUACUUUGCUCAAUAUGCCGAGAGCAUUCCGAAUGGCGAGACGUGCGUAGCGUUGUCCGAGGCGGCGAAAAAGAACAAUGUCUAUGUAAUUGGGGGUACGAUACCGGAGAGAGACAAUGACAAGUUAUACAACACCUGUACUAUAUGGGGACCAGAUGGAAAACUCAUAGCCAAAUAUAGGAAGAUGCAUUUGUUCGACAUUGAUAUUAAAGGAAAAAUCACUUUUCGUGAAAGUGACUCUCUAUCCGCUGGCAAUGUUCUUACCACUUUUGAAGCCAAAGGUUGCAAAAUCGGCAUUGGCAUUUGUUAUGAUAUCAGAUUUGAAGAACUGGCGCGAUUGUAUAGAAACAAAGGUUGUCAUAUGUUGAUAUACCCAGCGGCAUUUAACAUGACCACUGGCCCGCUGCAUUGGUCACUGCUGCAGCGUGCCAGAGCAAAUGACAAUCAAUUAUACGUAGCUUGUGUAUCACCGGCACGUGGUUCACCGCCUGGAUAUGUCGCCUGGGGACAUACUCAGUUAACCAAUCCUUGGGGAAAAAUACUUACCGAACUAGAUGCCGCUGAAGAUAUGGUGGUCUCCGAUAUAGAUUUGAAAGUCGCGGAUGAAGUCAGAGUACAAAUCCCCACGUUUAAUCAACGUCGUACAGAUCUGUAUGACACCAUUUGGAAGAAGGAAAAUUAGGAAAACGUUACGUUGAUGAUAAAUCAUUAAACAAUUUCCUAUGCGUAAUCCUAAACAAUUUUGAUAAACUAUUAUAUGGGUAAAGUGUGUGUGACCCGCAUUAAGAGUAAAGACUGAGAUAAAUAUCUUACAUCUAACCUGUAAAGACAUGCAAUAUUGUGUAAUUAAUGAAUUAAUUCUGUGAAUAAAUUUUAUUUUCUUUUACGUGCGAACUUUUACUUUCAUUUAUCGUUAAAUUUCAUCUAUUGCUGCUGUGUUACUCGAGGGAAUCGAGGAAAAAAAUUCUUUCACACUAGAGAAUUAUUUUAUAUUUAAGUUUGUUUGGUAUUUUGGAUUAAAUUUUAUUGUAAUCUCAUAAUAUGGAUUCUGAAUGAUCACUCAUACAUAAAAGGCCCCUUGAUCAUUACAUGACAUAAUUAUGUCGAAAGUACGUAUUGCAGUAAUAUAUUAAAGCUAUCGUUCUACUAUUUACAUUGAGAAGAUAUGUAUACACACACACACACACAAUAUAUAUAUAUAUCUUCUCCUUUUUUUUUGUAAACGCGAUAGAU